rnacentral:rRNA from 1 species
UUGGUGCCUUCGGGAACGCACAGACAGGUGCUGCAUGGCUGUCGUCAGCUCGUGUUGUGAAAUGUUGGGUUAAGUCCCGUAACGAGCGCAACCCUUGUCCCUAUUUGCCAGCGAUUCGGUCGGGAACUCUAGGGAGACUGCCGGUGACAAACCGGAGGAAGGUGGGGACGACGUCAAGUCAUCAUGGCCCUUACGGGUAGGGCUACACACGUGCUACAAUGGUCGGUACAAAGGGUUGCAAUACCGCGAGGUGGAGCUAAUCCCAUAAAGCCGGUCUCAGUCCGGAUCGGAGUCUGCAACUCGACUCCGUGAAGUCGGAAUCGCUAGUAAUCGUGAAUCAGAAUGUCACGGUGAAUACGUUCCCGGGCCUUGUACACACCGCCCGUCACACCAUGGGAGUGGACUGCACCAGAAGUGGUUAGCUUAACCUUCGGGGGAGCGAUCACCACGGUGUGGUUCAUGACUGGGGUGAAGUCGUAACAAGGUAGCCGUAGGGGAACCUGCGGCUGGAUCACCUCCUUA